CAUUCACUUCGGGACUGGUGACCACUCUAAGUUGUGGUUCUUGAAAGAUUACACGUGUACUGAGAUUCGCUACGUAUUUUAUAUUUAGAUAUAUCUGGGGUACUUAUGUGAACUCGUGACUCUUGCUUCUGCUUUUUUUCCAUGGAUGAUUUCAUUUGACUGCCGCCAUGCUGGAGCACCGCCUUUAGCCGAGAAAAUCGACCCCGGGACUUAUUCUUUGUCCAUGGUUACGCCUGGAAUCAUCUGAAAUGAAUAUAUGAUAGAUUUUACCUGAAAAAUAUCGCAACAGAAUAGUGGUGCACACCAUUGCAGUAAUGAGAUGUGAUUCGAAACUGGUAUGAAACUUCAGCAGCGUAUAAUCAUGACUGAAAAGGAAAGAAAGAAAAGAAAAGAAAAACCUUCAAAGAAUAUUUUGUGGGUGAUUGAAUUGAUUAUUCAAGUAAAAUAAUCCUUUUAGGGUUUUUGAUUUGUAAAGAUUUCUCUCCUUGAUUGGUUUAAGUUCAACUGAUUAUCUGAAGCGACGACGAGGACAAUGACGACGAUGACGACCACGGCGAUGACGACCACGGCGAUGACAACCAUAGCGAUGACGACCACAGCGAUGACGACCACGGCGAUGACGACCACGGCGAUGAUGACCACGGCAAUGAGGAUGACGGUGAUGAAGAUGACAUAGGAUGCUAAUACACCUAAAUCGGCUCGCAGCCCCACCUAUCCAGACUGUGAGAUACAAGCAUUUCGGAGCGGUUAUCUCCUCUUCAGUCACAGAAACUGGACGGUUAUCAGCUGCGAGACACCCCGUAAUUCUAAUCACAUGUCCGAAGUACUGGAGCUUUGACCGCUCAAUGCGAAAAAGUAGCGGCUCGAAACGGAAAGAUUCCCUGCUCUCCGAGCUUUGAAAACUACCAAGAAACAUUAUUCCAGCGGUCUUCCAAAGAAAUCCCAUACCAACCACUGUAUUUGCGAUUGUACAUUAUUGGUCGUUAACCAGUAUUCAUAUCCUUUAUUCUGUCUAUUUAUUUGCCAUGAUUAGACACCUACUCUCACGCUGCUACAUACUGAACUUGUGCUGUUUUCCAUCGGUUAUGUUUUGUUGAAGACAAUAUCACAGCAACUUCGUUGGUGAUUCUGAAAUUAAUUCUUUAUUCGGAUAUUAUUCCAUGUUUUCCGUCAAACAUAUAAAGUUAAUAACAGAGAAACAAUGAAACUUUUAUUGAAGAAGUAAAUACUUAGCUUUGCUUUCGCAGGUGCGCCACAAUUUUUACUGUAAGACACAUCUCACCCAACGAGUCAGUACAAUUUAUACAUUGAAACACUGACGCGUACCCAGUCAUACAUAGACGCACGCGCAGAUAUACAAAUGUAUACAGACACAUAAAAGUAUAUGUAUAUACAUAUAUAUAAAUAUAUAUGCAUAUAUACAUAUAUAUAUACAUAUAUAUGUACCUGUAUAUAUAUAUAUAUAUGUGUGUAUAUAUGUAAACGUAUAUAUAUGUGUGUGUAUGUGUGUGUGUGUGUGUGUGUGUCUGUGUGUGUCUAUGGGUGUGUGUGUGUGUGUGUGUGUAAGCAUAUAUAAGCACACAGUUACACACUCAGACUUAUAUAUAUGUGUGUGUGUAUACGCAUAAAUAUGUGUGUGCAU